rnacentral:rRNA from 1 species
GACGAACGCUGGCGGCGUGCUUAACACAUGCAAGUCGAACGGUGAAGCGCCUUCCUUUUUGGUGGGUGUGGAUGAGUGGCGAACGGGUGAGUAACACGUGAGUAACCUGCUCCCUUCUUCUGGAUAACCGCAUGAAAGUGUGGCUAAUACGGGAUAUUCUGGGUCUGUCGCAUGAUGGGUCUGGGAAAGAUAUUGUUUCGGUGUGGGAUGGGCUCGCGGCCUAUCAGCUUGUUGGUGGGGUGAUGGCCUACCAAGGCGGUGACGGGUAGCCGGCCUGGGAGGAUGGGCGGACAUAGAAGGGAUGAGAGGCGGAGAAGACUACGAGAGGAAGCAGCAGUGGAGAAUAUAGAACGGGGGGCGGAAGGAUGAAGCAGCGACGCGGCGGGAAGGAAGGAGGCCUGCGGGUAGAGAACCUCUUUCGGGAAAGAAGAAGGGCUGCCUCGUUUGUGGGUGGGUUGACGGUAGCUGAAUAAGAAGCGCCGGCUAACUACGUG